CCUACGGGAGGCAGCAGUAGGGAAUCUUCCACAAUGGGCGAAAGCCUGAUGGAGCAACGCCGCGUGGGUGAAGAAGGUCUUCGGAUCGUAAAACCCUGUUGUUAGAGAAGAAAGUGCGUGAGAGUAACUGUUCACGUUUCGACGGUAUCUAACCAGAAAGCCACGGCUAACUACGUGCCAGCAGCCGCGGUAAUACGUAGGUGGCAAGCGUUAUCCGGAUUUAUUGGGCGUAAAGGGAACGCAGGCGGUCUUUUAAGUCUGAUGUGAAAGCCUUCGGCUUAACCGGAGUAGUGCAUUGGAAACUGGGAGACUGGAGUGCAGAAGAGGAGAGUGGAACUCCAUGUGUAGCGGUGAAAUGCGUAGAUAUAUGGAAGAACACCAGUGGCGAUAGCGGCUCUCUGGUCUGUAACUGACGCUGAGGUUCGAAAGCGUGGGUAGCAAACAGGAUUAGAUACCCGAGUAGUC
rnacentral:rRNA from 1 species